UACGGAGGGGGCAAGCGUUGUUCGGAAUUACUGGGCGUAAAGGGCUCGUAGGCGGCCAACUAAGUCAUACGUGAAAUCCCUCAGCUUAACUGGGGAACUGCGUGUGAUACUGGAUGGCUUGGAUUUGGGAGAGGGAUGCGGAAUUCCAGGUGUAGCGGUGAAAUGCGUAGAUAUCUGGAGGAACACCGGUGGCGAAGGCGGCAUCCUGGACCUAUAUUGACGCUGAGGAGCGAAAGCCAGGGGAGCAAACGGG
rnacentral:rRNA from 1 species